UACGAAGGGGGCUAGCGUUGCUCGGAAUCACUGGGCGUAAAGCGCACGCAGGCGGAUGCGCGCGUGGGGUGUGAAAUCUGGCCGCUCAACGGCCAGGCGCCAUCCCAUACGGCGCGUCUGGAGUGAUGCAGAGGUCGAUGGAAUUGCCGGUGUAGUGGUGAAAUGCGUAGAGAUCGGCAGGAACACCCAGGGGGAAACCAGUCGACUGGGCAGGCGCUGACACUCAUGUGCGAAAGCGUGGGGAGCGAACCGG
rnacentral:rRNA from 1 species